AGCGAACGCUGGCGGCAGGCCUAACACAUGCAAGUCGAACGGACCCUGCGGGGUUAGUGGCGGACGGGUGAGUAACACGUGGGAACGUGCCUUUAGGUUCGGAAUAGCUCCUGGAAACGGGUGGUAAUGCCGAAUGUGCCCUUCGGGGGAAAGAUUUAUCGCCUUUAGAGCGGCCCGCGUCUGAUUAGCUAGUUGGUUGGGUAAUGGCUCACCACGGGGACGAUCAGUAGCUGGUCUGAGGGGAUGACCUGCAACACUGAGACUGAGACACGGACCGGACUCCUACGGGAGGCAGCAGUGGGGAAACUUGCGCAAUGGGGGAAAGCCUGACGCUGCCAUGCCGCGUGAAUGAUAAAGGUCUUAGGAUUGUAAAAUUCUUUCACCGGGGACGAUAAUGACGGUACCCGGAGAAGAAGCCCCGGCUACCUUCGUGCCAGCCGCCGCCGUAA
rnacentral:rRNA from 1 species